GGUAAAUUCUGCCCUAUGAAUUUUUAAAUGGCUGCAGUAUUUUGACUGUGCAAAGGUAGCAUAGUAAUUAGUUUCUUAAUUAGAAGCUGGAAUGAAUGGAUUAAUGAGAUAAAUAUUUUAUUAAUUUUAUUUUUAUAAAUUAAAUUUUGAGUAAAAAUGCUUAAUUGAUUUCUAGGGACGAUAAGACCCUAUAGAACUUUAUACUAUAAUUGUUAAUUUACUUUUUUUAUACUAAAUUAAUUAUUUUAAUAAUUUACUGGGGUGGUGAAUAAAUUUUAACUUUAUUAUUAAAUUUCAAUAAUAAGUGUAAUUGCUUGAUCCUAAUGGAAAGAAGAUUAAGUUACCUUAGGGAUAACAGCGUAAUUUAAGUGGGGAGUUCUUAUCUAUACUUUAUUUUGCGACCUCGAUGUUGAAUUAAGGAAAGAUUGGGAAGCAGAAUUCUCAGGUCUAAGUCUGUUCGACUU
rnacentral:rRNA from 1 species